rnacentral:rRNA from 1 species
GAUGAACGCUGACAGAAUGCUUAACACAUGCAAGUCAAAUUGUGGCGGACGGGUGAGUAACGCGUAAAGAACUUGCCUCACAGAUAGGGACAACAUUUGGAAACGAAUGCUAAUACCUGAUACUGUGAGAGAGCUUUGCGUUCCCUUUGCUAGUGGGAGAGGUAACGGCUCACCAAGGCAAUGAUCGGUAGCCGGCCUGCGAGGGUGAUCGGCCACAAGGGGAUUGAGACACGGCCCUUAAUCCUACGGGAGGCAGCAGGUGGGAAUAUUGGACAAGGUGCCAAAGUCUGAUCCAGCAAUUCUGUGUGCACGAUGAAGUUUUCGGAAUGUAAAGUGCUUUCAGUUGGGAAGCAGUGCCAACAGAAGAAGUGACGGCUAAAUACGUGCCAGCCGCCGCGGUAAUUC